rnacentral:lncRNA from 1 species
UCUUAUCUUUCUUAAAGCCUGAAGUUCUGAAGCAAUAUGUUAGUAAGAUGGAUGAAGAGAUUAGAAAGCAUUUCGAGAUGCAUUGGCGCGGCAAGAAAACUGUUUUGGUCAGUGAAUUUUAUCUAAAAAAAGCUAAACUCCACUGAUUAUAUAUAUCACAAGUAAUAUUUUGUGUUUUUGCAGCUUUGAUGCCUUUUAUAUCUGAUUUAUCUCUUGACAACAUAGGCAAUGCCAUCGAUUAAGACCCUCACCUUCAAUAUUAUGAGCUCGCUUAUUAUUGGGAUAGAGGAAAGUGCAAAAAGAGACAUACUCCUACAGCUCUUCGAACAACUAAUGGAGGGUGUUCUAUCAGUACCAUUCAAUUUUCCCUUCACACGAUUCAAUCGAAGCCUCCAAGCAAGUGGGAAAAUCAGACCGAUUUUAGAGGAUCUUAUCCGAGAAAAAAGAGCUGCACUGGAGCAUGGAACUGCCUUUCCUCAACAAGAUCUUAUCACGACCUUGCUUAGUCUCCGAAACGAGGAGAAUUCAGCAGUAUUAACUGAUGAGGAAAUUAUAGAUAAUGCAAUCGUGAUAAUGAUAGCAGGCUAUGACACCUCCUCCGUCCUCCUCAGUUUGUUGAUCAGGCUUUUAGCCGAUGAUCCAUCUAUUUAUGCCAGCAUUCUUCAAGGUAUGUAACUAAAUUUAUUCAAUAAAAACCAAAUAAUAUUGCAAGAAAUCAUAGCAAACACUACGAUUUGAGAUUGCAGAACAAGCAGAGAUUUCCAAGAAUAAAGCCUCUGGGGAGCUCUUAACAUGGGAUGAUCUCACAAGAAUGAAACAUACAUGGAGUGUAGCAUCGGAGACCCUAAGGAUGACCCCUCCUGUAUUUUUUAUCUUCAGGAAGGUUCUCAAAGAUUUGAAUAUGAAGGGUACCUGAUACCCAAAGGAUGGCAGGUGUGAUAUGAUUCUGAGUUUGCAUACCUUAUCAUUAAUAUAGUUAACCAAACCACUUCAAAACAUACAUAAUGCUGUACAAAGUUACCACUUUUUUGACUCAGGUAAUGUUGUCGACCAUCAUGACACAUAUGGAUGACAGCAUCUUCCCACAUGCAUCAAGAUUUGAUCCAGAACGUUUCCAGAAUAAAGCAUCAGUCCCGCCGUAUAGUUUUGUAUCAUUCGGGGGAGGAGCACGCAUAUGUCCUGGAUUUGAAUUUGCAAGACUUGAAACUCUGAUCACAAUACAUUACCUGGUGAACAGGUUCGUUUGGAAGCUCUGUCACCCUGGCAUUUCUUUUUCAAGAGAUCCAUUUCCACUCUUCAAGGAUGGACUGGAGAUAGAAAUUGAGCCAAGGACCCCACUGUGAUAGAUAACUAAAUGCAUGCUCUAAUGUAUAUAUGCUCUCUGUCCUUCAAUUUGCAGAAUAUUCUGUUGAAUAAUUACUUAAAGUUGAAUCCAGAUAUGAGGGAACUUCCAUCUGUGUGUUUGUAGCAUUGCUAAUUGCCGAGCAAUUUCAGAUUUCCUUUUUUUUCAAGUUAAUGAUGUAGGGAAUCGAACAGCCGGAUGUGAAUAUGUUGUAACUGGAGCACGCGGAAAGCUUAGGGUGAUCCUUAAGCAUGGUUAUAGGUUUUCUCAACAAGGGAGAGAGAUCGAAAUCCUCUCUUUCUCGAGAUCCCCUGAAUCGCCGCAUCCCCUCUCUCCCGCAACGGGGCUAAAGCUCACGGUCCGGUUGAAUCACUAAACCGGCGACACGUUUAUGGAUCAAUGAGACAAUCUAAAUAGCUAAACUAUGCUAUUGAUUUUAGGGGGUGUGAAAAUGGAGAGAGACUUGUUAGGAUUUUUCACAGUUUUGGAUAGUUUCAAGGCAUAUGUGGAUCCUGCUCCCCGCAUCAUCAAGAACUUUCUUGCUUCUCAAGCUGGACAAAUAAGUUUGAUGAAUGCAUAGACAUUUUUUAGUUUCUCAGACACAAAAACUCUAUGAACAGAACCCAUUAAUUAAAGUAAAAAAAAGAAUGAAGAGGAUGUGAUAGAAAAAUCGUUCAAGUGGAUGUUACACUACGAGGAAAUUGGAAAAAAAAAAAAAGCAACGGAAACACCAGGAAAAUAUUUCAUCACUGUUUACUAUAAAAAUUACAACGAAAAAUUUCCAGAAAAAUAAUGAUGUGGCAUUUGCAGAAGGGUUUGGACACUGAUAUGGCUAUCUUUAUUUUCCUUGCAUGCCAACACAGUGUCUUCGUCUUCAUCUGUGGACACUUUAAUUGUUCUGUUCAUCAUAAAGGAAGAUGCUGGGAGGUUGGCUCCAGCCUCCACUUUUGACCUCUGUAUAUCAAACAAAUUAUAUGGGACAGUGACCGGAAAUGAGAGGGCCGAUAGGCCUUGGCAAAGAAUUGGCUACCUCCAUUCUCAAUUAUUGGCAAUACGUAAUUAACAUUACUGUAACUUUGAUGUUAAUUGCUCCCCAGAGGCAAGCAUAUCUUUUGUUUCACCUCAGCAAGUUCUUUUUUUAGUUACAGUAAUGUUAAUUAAGUAUUGCCAAUAGAUAGGUAGGCAUGCGAUUUUCGAGUUUUUUUAGGGAUUAUUUCAACUUACAUCGUUGGAUGAUUUAAUACUCUUAUAAUGACACUAAAUUUUCCAUGUAAUUUUCAUAUUUCUUAUAAUCCUGUAUACAUAGAAAUGGGUUUUUUUUAUUAUUAUUUUUAUUAAAGGCAAGUAAAUAUAUCUGAUAAAAAAUAUAUAAAGCUGGAGAACCAACAAGUUUAGGAUCUUUUAUUUUUUGAUUUCAUAAUUUAAAGGAUUCAAUCUAUGUAUUAUGUAUUAGUGUGUUUGUUGGCAUCAAACAAACUCGAUUAAUAUCUAAAUUAUAGGCUUGUAGAAAAACAAAAAGUUUAUUUUUUUAAACUCUACGGAUUAGAGACUGGCAAGUUAGGAUUUUGAGAAAUCCUAACCCAUCGGUCUAUUGGUUAGUCUAAACCAGCUGACUGGUUGGUUUAUGUAAUGAUCAACCGGUUGACCUUGCAGUAGUAGUUAAUCAGGUCUAUUAGAUUCAUUCAGUUUAGGUUAUGUUUAGAAUCAAUCAAGUGAAUCAGUUCAGCUUUAUUAUUAUGAUUUGAUCUCUAAGUCUAGGGUUUUUAUAUUUUAUAUUAUGUUGCUUUGAGUUAUUGUUUUAGUGUUUUUUAUAUUUAUUAUAGGUUUUAUUGACAUUCCUCCUAGUAAGUCUUAGAAAUCUUUGAUUUUGAAUUCGUUUAAUUUUUUGAGUGAGUUGAAUCAUUUCUAUUAUGUAUUACACACACACAUAUAUAUAUAUAUAUAUAUAUAUAUAUAUAUAUAUUUGUGUGUGUGUGUGGGAGGCCAUUUCAUACACUAUUGACACCCUAAUCACCCGCUAAAAAAUAAAUAUCAUGUACACACAAGCUAAUAACUGUUAGCACGAUUUAGCUUUAAAUUUAAAAAAUAAAUUGAUGAAUUAACACGGUAAUAAAAAUAUUUUAUGAAAUAAUAUAUUUUUAAUUUUUCACAAUCACAAUCAUUAUAUAUAUUAAAUAUUAUAUUUUUAAAUUGCAAUAAAUAAUUGAUAUUAUAAUUAAAAAAUAAAAUUUUAAUUAAUUUGAUGAUUUUCAACUACAACAUCAAUUAAUUGUUGUUUCAAAUCAAUUAUCAUCUAUUUUAGUUAAAGUUUAUACUCAAAGAAAUUUAUCAAAGCUUGCUGUACAAUCUGUUUUAAUGCAGACACGACAUUCUAUAAAAUUUAUUGUGGUCUCUUUGAACGCAAUUAAAGAAUCAGUUUGUCUGAUAUUUACUAAAUAUUAUUUUUUUGAAGCGUUACAUGUGAAAGGUAAAAAUAUAUUAGUUUUAAAAAAUACAAACAAUAUUAUUAUGUAAUUUUUAUGUAUUUAUUAUUGUGCUAAUUAAAAAAAAUCGUAAAAAUAUUGUACAGUGAAACCUACCGAACCUCGAACAAGGGAGCUUGGUCAUGGGAACCGUGAAUCCCAUACCCAACUGUUGUUUCCUGUUUUCUAUGCUCGAUCAUGUGUGUGUAUUUCCCUUUUGUUUAUUUUUCUUUUUUAAUUUUUUCUUUAUUUUUAAUUUAGCCCUUGAUCUUUUAAUUCUGCUAUAUUCAGUCAAUUUUGAAUCGAUUUUUCAAGACUUCUUUCAAGUAAGCCCUGGAUCACAUUCGUAAUCAUCAUUCAAUAUUGAGACCUUUUACACUUCAGCUCUUGGAUGUUUAAUUUGUACAAUUUUUUUCUUCAAUUAGGCUCCUAAUGGAAUUAAUAUGGUCGUCAUAUUCCUGCGCCUGUUUUAUUUUGAUCCUUGAUCUUUUAAUUAUUCUAAUUUUGAUCAAAUAUUUUGACUCUAAAUCUCAAUCUUCCUCUUCAAUUGAGCUCUUAAUCGAACCAAUUAGAUCCUCAAAUUUCAACAGCCCUUCCAUUUUGUUUUUUGGUCCUUUAGAUUUUUAAUUUUGGUCAAAUUGACUCUAAAUUUUAAGUUUCUCUUUAAUUAAGCCCCCAAUUGAGUUAAUUGAAAUUCCAAACUUUUCCAUCUCUUUUGUUGUGGUCAUUGACUUGUAAAUUUAGCCAAUUUUUCCUUUAAUUCAAAAUUUUCUCCUCGGUUAGGCUCUCAACUAAAAUAAUAGGACUUCAAAUUUUAAUUUUUUAUCUUUUUCAUUUUGGUCAUUGGUCUUUUAUCUCUUUAAACUAUUAUCAAUUUUAACACUUUCUUUAAUUAAACCCCAAAUUGCAUACCCACAUAACUUUUUGAUCAACUACAAAAUAAAUUUUUAUCUAGUUUCAACCCGGAGUUAUAUUUUAUUUUUAAAAUUCAACAUCAUCGCAAUGUAUUUUUUUUUUUCAAAAUUCUAUAUAUUUCAUCUGGAAUUCAGUUAGUAUAUACUAAUAAAACAAUUCUAUUAGUAUAUACUGACGGUUUUACCGAUCGAUUUAUAUCCGUCAAUAAAUAUCACCGUAAAUUGCCAACAAAAAAUUUUCAUCCAUAAUUUUGUUGGUUUUAAUUAAAUUUCUAGUAGUGUUUUAAGAUGUUUAAUAAGCUAGAUUUAUUGGCUAAUUAAGCAAGCAUUGAGAAGAGUUGUUUUGUGCAAUUUGCUUACUUGUUCACGAGGGUUUAGGGUUUUAGGGUUUAGGGUUUAGGGUUUAGGGUUUAGAUAAUUUCAUUGUUGAUAUUUUAAAUUGUUUGAUGUAUAUUUAUAGUCAGAUUUUAAUAAUAAAUAUUUUUAAAGUAUUUUUUUUAUUAAAAAUAAAUCAAAAUAAUUUUCUUCAUAUUCUUUUUUUUUUGUUUUUAACAGCACCAUAAUAAAAUCAUCGAAUAACUUGUUUAGAAUCAAAUCAUGAGUGGAAUUUAAUUCAAUUUCAUAUAAGGAUUGAAUUGAAUUAAUAAUAUAUUAUAAUUCUUAAAUCCCGUAAUUGAAUUUAAUUUAAACACACAUGGAGAUGAUGAGUUGGAUUAGCUAUUUUGCUUUUAAUUUAAAAAUAAAUUUGAUACAAAAUCAACAAAAUAGAUAAAACGUGGAUCUGCAUAUCAUUGGAUUCACCGAAUCAAGUCAUUUUAUUUUUUUUAGUUUUUCCUGAAUUUGAAGUCCACUACGGCUUUGAGAAUCCGUGAAGUAAAGAGGGCCGAAGCCAUCAAUCUUGCAAGAACCCUACUUUGUAGUAUUUCUGAUAUUUUCAUUAUUAUUCUGAAGACUGCAAGAGUGACUGAUUUUGCCUGAUGGGAUCGUAACAGGGAAUGGCAGGACCAGUGGGCCAGGACAAAGAAUUUACAAAAAGAAGAUAAAAUACUUAAUUAACAUUACUGUAACUUUGAUGUCGAUGCCCGGCCAAUCCUAAGGCAAGCAAUUUUAUCUUAUUGAUAUAGAUAAAAAAAUCGUUUGGGAACGCGGUUGAAACUGUAUUUUCAUAAAAUUUAAAUUAUUUUUCUUGUUAAAAUUUAAUAUAAUUUAUAUAUUUUAGAUCAUUUUAAUAUAUUGAUGUUAAAAAUAAUUUUUAAAAAAUAAAAAAAUAUCAUUGAUAUAUAUUUCGACACGAAAAAUUAUUUAAAAAGAAACCGCUACUAUACUGCCAAACAUACUUAAAAUAGCACGGAAAAUUCAUAGUCACACACAAGAAAUAUAAAAUUAGUUAAAUUAUACAUUAAUUAUUGAUUUUUUUUUAUAAUGUGAUUUAUUUUUAUAAGAGAUUUACAGCUCUUUAAAUAGAUAAAAAAAAUGAAAUUUUAUAAAUAACAAAAAUAAAAAUUUUAAGCCAAAUAAAAAAGUCAAUAUAAAAUUCAAAAUUAAGUUACAAAUAAGAAAAUAAAAAAGAAAAAGAAAAAUAACAAAAUUAAUUAAAACAUCAUCUUUCGAACCUAAUUUAAGAGGUUUUGACAUGAACAAAAAUAACAUCAGAAAUACUUCAAUAACAAGCAACAUAAAAUUUCGCUAAUAAAAUCACCAUCCAAAAAAUUCUAAAUUUUUUACUGAAUAUUUAUUUUUAUAUAAUAUAUUGAAAUACAAAUUAAACAACUUAGUAGGGAAUAUUAAUACACCUUUAUCUUGUCAUAAACGGUAUCAUUGAAUUCUCAAUGAUAUUUACUUUAAUCAAGAAGAUAGCUCCUUUACUCGUGUCUUUAAAAUGGAAUCUGAAAUUUGGCUAUGAAUCCAUCAUCAUUUUCUUCACAAUUCUCCAAUCUUUUCUUUUUUAUCUUUAUUAAUUGAUUGAAUAAUUCUUCAACUUGCCUUUAUAAUUUUAUUAUUACUAGUUGAAUGAUUAAUCCUGUCUCUGUAAAACAAGAGAUGACUCUCUCCUUUUCUCGUGAUGGUACAUCAUUGACUUUAGGAUACAUUUGUGAGAUGGCUCUCUCUUUUUCACUUGUUGGUGCAUUAAAGUCUUUGGGAUACAACCUAAUUUCUUCAUUCUUUAUUUUCAGUGUGUUAGUGAAUGAAUUGAUGGCUGAUUUGAUAUAUUUGUUUUUUAUUUUAAAAAUAUUUUAAAAAAAUUAAUUUUUUUUUAAUUUUUUAUUAACUUCAAAUUAAUAUGUUUUUAAUGUUUUUAAAUUAUUUUGAUAUGCUGAUAUAAAAAUAAUAUUUAAAAAAUAAUAAAAAAUUAUUAACAUGUAUUUUAACAUGAAAUAUUAUUUGAAAAACAACCAUAAUCACACUUCAGUGUAAUACUCUAAAACAAGUUGAGAAAGUACUAUUAUUUCCCAUAUUUUUUUUAUCCUUUACUAACUAUGAAUAUUUUAGAAAUAAUUCUUUGAUAUAAUAGGAAUCAUAUAAUUAUAAUAAUUUUAUAAUUUUUCAUAUAAAAUAUUUUUGUUUAUAAGCUUUAUUUUACUUUAAAUUUAUUAAUAUAAUAUUAUAUGAAUAUUAAAGAUAAAUUAAAUAUUUAUUAAUAAUAAACAUAUAUUUCCAUAAAUAUAAUAAUAUCACGUGAAUCUAAUCUAUUGGCUAUAAUUAUAUUAAAGUAACAACCCAUCAACCCGUAUAAGUGCGCUAAUUGCAUGGCAUCAAUCUUCAGCAGCUAUGAUGAUUCAAGUGUUCUUUUUCUUGCUUGUUUUCCUUCUCUCUGUCUACCUUCUCCUCACCAAAAAUGCUUCCAAAAGGCUUCCACCAGGUUCUUUGGGUCUUCCCAUCAUAGGUCAAAGCCUCAGCUUCCUAAGUGCCAUGCGCAAAAACACAGCAGAAGAAUGGCUGCAGGAUAGAAUAAGAAAAUAUGGCCCUGUUUCGAAAAUGAGCAUCCUCGGGGCCCCUACUCUGUUCAUUCAUGGCCAGGCAGCAAACAAGUUCUUCUUCAGUUGCGACGGCAACACUCUGGACAGUAAGCAGCCAUCGUCGAUAAGUAGGGUUUGCGGCGAGAGGAAUAUCCUGGAACUAAGUGGCCAUGACCAUAAGCGCGUAAGGGGAGCUCUCUUGUCUUUCUUAAAGCCUGAAGUUCUGAAGCAAUAUGUUAGUAAGAUGGAUGAAGAGAUUAGAAAGCAUUUCGAGAUGCAUUGGCACGGCAAGAAAACGGUUUUGGUCAGUGAAUUUUAUCUAACAAUUGCUAACCUCCACUGAUUACAUAUAUCACAAGUAAUAUUUUGUAUUUCUGCACCUUUGAUGCCUUUUAUAUCUGAUUUAUCUCUUGACAACAUAGGCAAUGCCAUCGAUUAAGACCCUCACCUUCAAUAUUAUGAGCUCGCUUAUUAUUGGGAUAGAGGAAAGUGCAAAAAGAGACAUACUCCUACAGCUCUUCGAACAACUGAUGGAGGGUGUUCUAUCAGUACCAUUCAAUUUUCCCUUCACACGAUUCAAUCGAAGCCUCCAAGCAAGUGGGAAAAUCAGACCGAUUUUAGAGGAUCUUAUCCGAGAAAAAAGAGCUGCACUGGAGCAUGGAACUGCCUUUCCUCAACAAGAUCUUAUCACGACCUUGCUUGUCUCCGAAACGAGGAGAAUUCAGCAGUAUUAACUGAUGAGGAAAUUAUAGAUAAUGCAAUCGUGAUAAUGAUAGCAGGCUAUGACACCUCCUCCGUCCUCCUCAGUUUGUUGAUCAGGCUUUUAGCCGAUGAUCCAUCUAUUUAUGCCAGCAUCCUUCAAGGUAUGUAACUAAAUUGAUUCAAUAAAAACCAAAUAAUAUUGCAAGAAAUCAUAGCAAACACUACGAUUUGAGAUUGCAGAACAAGCAGAGAUUUCCAAGAAUAAAGCCUCUGGGGAGCUCUUAACAUGGGAUGAUCUCACAAGAAUGAAACAUACAUGGAGUGUAGCAUCGGAGACCCUAAGGAUGACCCCUCCUGUAUUUUUUAUCUUCAGGAAGGUUCUCAAAGAUUUUGAAUAUGAAGGGUACCUGAUACCCAAAGGAUGGCAGGUGUGAUAUGAUUCUGAGCUUGCAUACCUUAUCAUUAAUAUAGUUUAACCAAAACACUUCAAAACAUAUAUAAUGCUGUACAAAGUUACCACUUUUUUGACUCAGGUAAUGUUGUCGACCAUCAUGACACAUAUGGAUGACAGCAUCUUCCCACAUGCAUCAAGAUUUGAUCCAGAACGUUUCCAGAAUAAAGCAUCAGUCCCGCCGUAUAGUUUUGUAUCAUUCGGGGGAGGAGCACGCAUAUGUCCUGGAUUUGAAUUUGCAAGACUUGAAACUCUGAUCACAAUACAUUACCUGGUGAACAGGUUCGUUUGGAAGCUCUGUCACCCUGGCAUUUCUUUUUCAAGAGAUCCAUUUCCACUCUUCAAGGAUGGACUGGAGAUAGAAAUUGAACCAAGGACCCCUCUGUGAUAGAUAACUAAAUGCAUGCUCUAAUGUGUGUCUUUAUGUGUGUAUAUAUAUAUAUAUAUAUAUAUAUAUAUAUGCACUCUGUCCUUCAAUUUGCAGAAUGUUCUGUUGAAUAAUUACUUAAAGUUGAAUCCAGAUAUGAGGGAACUUCCAUCUGUGUGUUUGUAGCAUUGCUAAUUGCCGAGCAAUUUCAGAUUUCCUUUUUUUUCAAGUUAAUGAUGUAGGGAAUCGAACAGUCGGAUGUGAAUAUGUUGUAACUGGAGCACGCGGAAAGCUUAGGGUGAACCUUAGGCAUGGUUAUAGGUUUUCUCAACAAGGGAGAGAGAUCGAAAUCCUCUCUUUCUCGAGAUCCCCUGAAUCGCCGCAUCCCCUCUCUCCCGCAACGGGGCUAAAGCUGACGGUCCUAGGUGGUGAAUCACUAAACCGGCGGACACAUCUAUGGAUCAAUGAGACCAUCUAAAUAGCUAAACUAUGCUAUUGAUUUUAGGGGGUGUGAAAAUGGAGAGAGACUUGUUAGGAUUUUUCACAGUUUUGGAUAGUUUCAAGGCAUAUGUGGAUCCUGCUCCCCGCAUCAUCAAGAACUUUCUUGCUUCUCAAGCUGGGACAAAUAAGUUUGAUGAAUGCAUAGACAUUUUUUAGUUUCUCAGACACAAAAACUCUAUGAACAGAACCCAUUAAUUAAAGUGAAAAAAAGAAGAAGAGGAUUUGAUAGAAAAAUCGUUCAAGUGGAUGUUACACUAUUAGGAAAUUGAAAAAAAAAAGCAACGGAAACACCAACGAAAAAUAUUUCAUCACUGUUUACUAUAAAAAUUACAACGCAAAAUUUCCGCUUGUAAUUUCCAGCAGAAAUGGUGACGGAAUAAAAAAAAAUCAUCAACAAUUUCGUCGGCAUUUCUAAAGUGUUAAAUUGCUGACAUAAUUCUCAUAAAAGAUUGUAAAAUGAAUUAAAAACCUGACAAUUCUCUCUUCUCCAUCCCCUCCUCUUUAUCUUUUUUCAUUUCAAUUCAAGCCCUAACCCUAUUAAUUUCUUCAAGUUUUCGACAAGCCCCCUCUAAAAUCUGGUCACCCAACCCGCCAAUGCAACCUCCCUCUCUUAAUUCUAUUUAAUAUCAAGCUUCGCUUCAUUAAGAAAAAAAGUCCAUUUAUUUUUGUUGUAACACCCAUUUAUAUUUAAAGUUAAUUUAUUGAAAUUUGUUUAUAGAAUUUAUAGUUUGCAUGUAUAUUUAAGUAUUUUGUUUGUUUUGUAAUUAUAAUUUUAUUAUAUUAAUAUAUAAUUUGUAUUUUAAAAUUUAUUUGGGAUUUUAAAAAAUAGAUUUAAGAUGUUAAUCGAUGAAAUUGAUUGUUUGGGAUUUCUAUAAAGCUAGUAUCCACAUCAAAUAUUGUUUUUUUGCAUGUUGCUUUUUAUGACCUUCGAAUCCCCACCCUGAAAAUCACACAAGCAAUCAUGUUUCGGUUGCUCUACAUCCUUGUUAGUACCACGAAUAAAUUAUUAGAAUUUGUUUUUGCUAAUAACGCACCCGAAUAUGCAAACAUGGUUAAUGCAUAUUCUCUUUAAUAUUGAUUUUGUUGAUGUAAAUAUAUUUCACUUAAUAAAUUUUUUUUUAAUAUUUAUCAAAUAUUUUAUUAAUGAAUGAAAGUAUAGAUAAAGUUCUUAGAACAAAAAUAUUUUGUAAAUAAAAUUAUCAAGUUAUUAUAAUUAUAAGAUUUUUAUUACAUCAAAAUAUUGUUUCUAAAUAUUCUUGGUAAAUAUUCUAUUAAAACUGGAAAUUAAUUAAAGCUAUUAAGACUUGUACAUAUUAUAUUCUUUCCUUUAUGAAAUAAAACAGUUGUUUUCAUAAGUUAAGAUAUGAUCGAGGGAUACCAAUAACUAAUAUGUAGGUUCUUGUUGGAUAACAUGUACACCAAACUAACUCGCAUGAGAAUUAUAUAUGGAAAGAUCACUUGUGUACAUGGAAGGAUUAUAUGACCGUUGUGUAAGUGAUCCUUAAACUUGAAAUUACUAAGUUAUUUUAUAUAGAGAGUAUUAUGUUUUGAUCUUAUUACAUGUUAUCCUUAUCAAAGGUAACAAAUGAGCAGGUAUUAGGUAUGGCAUGAACUAUAUGAAGAUAUUUAAGUAAUCAAAAGAGGAUUCAUCACUUUAGAUGAAUUGGAAAAAAUAUUCCACGUGUUCUCAAAUAAUAUUGAUUGUAAAUUUUUAUAUAAGGUGGAAUGAGAUUCGAAAAGAGUUUUAAAUCUUAUUCAAAUAAUAAAUGACUAUGAUAUUGAAAACAAACAUGAUUUGAUAUAAUAGAAAAAAAUCACCCAUGUUGUAGUUUCCCUCUUUUUUUUUCCUUCGGAAAGAUGAAUGAGAGAUAAGGGUCAAGUUUUUUUCUUUUUUUUCUCUUACGGUUUAGGGUUAUUAGACUUCACACAAUUUCAUAGGUUACAUUCCUUGAUAUAGUUUAACAUGGAAGCUCUAUGGCUGAGCUUUUUGUUUUUUUAGAAUGUGUUUGGCAUUUUAGUAUCUUUUGCUCUUAUAAUUUGAAUUUUUUUAUAAAAAAAAACUCCAAAUUUAUUAUAUAUUUUGAUUAAUCAACAGUGGUUGCAGAUCUGUUUUAAUUGGAUCAUGUGAAAAAGACAUUUAUAGAUUAGUAGACCAGAUCUAAACCUAAAAAGAGUUUUAGCCAUGUCAAACGACUUGUUUGAUAAAAAAGCUCUUAACUUAGAUUAAGAAACCUUAAAUUAGCCUCUCAAGUUUUUUUUUUUUUCAAUUUCAUCUUUCAACAUUAGAUUGAUUGAGAAUUAAGCUUCAUAAUUUGUUACCGUUUGUUUUCUAUUGAGUUAUUUCAAUCUCAUAACCCAGGUUGAGAUUUUGGCAAGUUAACCCGUGUUAACUCAAAUUGUUUUUUAGGUAUUUUUUUAAUUGAUUUUUUCAAUUUCUUCCUUCAACAUUAGGUUUAUUAGGAAUUAAGCUUCGUAAUUUGUUUUGAUUUAUUUUUUUAUAUUAUGUUUAUUAUGAUCUAAUGACUUAGUAUGCAAAUUAACAAGUUAACAUAGAUUGAUCCGAAUUGUUCAAAUAUGUUGUUGUCUCAAUGUUUAUUUAAAAAAAUCUCAUCUUAAAUAUUUAUUUUGAGUCAAAUUAUAUUUUUAAAGGUUAUUUUGGUUGCUUUUGAGCCCGUCAAGGUAAUCAAGUCACAUCAGAUCAAUUCCCAUAUGAUUUUAAAUUUUUUUCUGCUAAAAAAAAUAUUAGUAAUGCCAAGAUAUUUUUUUACUUUAAUUUUUUUAUCUCAUCCGCAGUAUAGCAAGAGCCAAUUAUCUAGUAAUUAAUUAAACAUCUAAAAGAACUAAUUCCCUUAGUUAGCAUCAUUAUUCAUAUGAAUUGUAAAAUUGCUCCUCAAUAAUUUAUUUAUUUUUAUUUUCAUCUUUUUUUAAAAAAAAAUUAUCCUUAGAUUUUGUUUUAUUUAAUUCUUUCUUGAUAUAAUUUCAUGAGAUAAAGUUUUAAAUUGUAGUAGAAAAUAAAAUUAAAAGAUAGAAUAUUACAUUAUAAAUCAUGGAGAAAAUACAUGGCCAAUCUUUUUAGAAAUUUUAUUUUGAUCUAAAAAUUUAUUUUAUUUAUUUUUGUAGUCUUUGAGUUUGAGAAAAGAGAAAGAAACUUGUUGAAAAGCGGUAAAAAAUAGAAAAAAAUAUCGAUUAACCACAUUUAGCCACACAAAAAAAAAAUCUUUGUCAAUAGAUUUAUCUUCUCAAGAAUAAUUUAAUGAAGAUAGUUUGUUUAAAAAUAUAACAAAAAAAAAUAGAUUGAGUUUUUAUUUAUUUAUUUUAAUUCAAUUAAUUUUUAUAUUUUAAAGUGAUUUUAGAAUAUGUGGGGGUUAUCAAGAGCUUUUUUAAGAUGUGCAUUAAAGUGAAAUGAGUUAAAAUUGAGUUUUUGGAAUAUGAAAACAUGUACCUUUUGUGAUAAUUAUUGGAGGCGGCUGGAAAAAUACCAAUCGCCUUCCCCUAUAGACAACUUGUUGCUCGCAUUGAAAAGAAGAAAAUACAAAAGCGGACAGAGACAUUAUGGUUCACAUAAUUACUAAAGCAUUGGGAUGAGAUUAUUACAUCUUACAUCGUUAGAUGCUUUAAUACUCUGUUCUCAAAGGGCUCACUUUGUUGUUUUGUUGAUUAUUGUAAAAUCUCUACGCAUUUUCAACGAUUCCUGUGUCCACCUGUAUAAUACAUAGACUCUGUAUUGUCGGGAUUUCUAAGGUUUCUCAAUGAGUAAUAAUCUAAAAAUAGUUGUCUUGCAACGUUAUGUACAUGAGAGCUACACCAGAAAGGAAAGAGGAUCCAUGCACCUGAGCUGGUCCUUGGAAGUUACUCGGUGAUAAGAGAUGUCUGCUAAUGCGAUUAUGCCACCUUUUUUAGUACAGAAUCUCCAAAAGCUCUAGACAUUGCUAAGCCUAGAGAAUCUUCAUGAGGUGUAGCCAGACUCGAUGGACGUGUAGCUCUUCCUCUAGUUCAAGUACUCUGCCAUUACAUUUUCUUAUUUUUUCUGCUUCGCCUGGAUUAUAAGAGGAUCCAAUUGAAAAAAUGAGUUGCAUAUGAUCAUGAAAAAUCUGUAGUUAAUUGAACAGGCACGAUUCCAUUCUGAUCAUUGAUUCUGCCCAACGCUAGCUAGCUGCUCUUAAGUCUCGAUCCAAGACUUGCUAUAAUAAGAUCGUCACCUGUUUUCAUGAGCCCAGCUCGUGGGUUUGAUGAUUUAAGGAUUAGGGUGGCUAGAGCCGCAGCUUCUGGUGGUUGUUGAGGUUGUGGAGUGAGGUUGGUUGUGGUGAUCGUAAAGGGGUAGGGUUUUAGCGGCUGUGAUUUUUUGAGAGUUGAAAGAAGUAAAGAAUAAGCAUGUACCAUAUAAUUCAAUCACUCAUACUGAUGACAUAACUUCCAUAAACACAAUCUUAAUUCGUACAAAUUGCGCAAACCAAUAAAAAAAAAAGAGAGUACAAGGUCCGUCCUGAAACACAACAGGACAAGAUCGAUGAGACUGGUAACCAAUAAGUGGCUAUUUUCUUCUAUAUAGAAAGUAGAGCAGAGAUAUCAUGGUGAAGACAACUCCUUCCAGCAAUAUAAACUGACCAGAUGAUCAGGAUCGAUCGUGUGCUUGUUUAGUGAAGCCAUCUACUCUUGUGAGGAAGACAAGGCCAAUAUGUCCGGAUCUUGUUGGAAGUGAAGCAUAUCAAUUUCCUUUAAGGUCAUCCAUGCCUCAAUUCCGUCUCCAAAUUUGUCGUCCUUCAGAAUACUAACAUCUAUAGGAAAAUUCAUUGCACUCAUCCAUGCAGGCUUUCCCCAGCCAAAGUUUGCUUCCUCCAUACCCAGCCUACACCAGCUUGAGAACUUGAAUGUAUCUACUUCACCCUUGUUCAAUUCUUCAAACAACUCUUUAUGGUACUUAGUUACCAUUGAAAACACAUCGUCGCUGUUUACUGCAUUUGCGCAAUCUGAAAUGGCUUUCCUCUUAGCAUCCCUCAGGAGACUCGCAAUGUCACUCAACUCUAACCUAUUGCUCUCACCAUUUGCAUUGAAUCUAGAAAUGAAAGGCAUAUACAUGUUCCCACAAGCAUUUUCAGGUAAAGGCAUAGUCACCUUUCCUCUCAGCGUCAUUAGCUGGCGCACUGAUGAUGCUCUCAGGUGUCCGUGCUGUGCUUUAACUGAACCAAUGAGAGCCUUCCAUAUAAGUGCUGUGACCACCUCUAAGCGCGAAUGAUGGUACUUGACUCCUGAAUCGGUGCCACCACUAAUUUUAGAUUUCAGCUUGUCUAUGGCUUCCUUGUUAAACACAAAUACUUUUGUGACAAUCUUAGGUUGAACUUUUGGUACUGCUGGUGGAAAAUUGAGACGUAAAUCUCUUUGUGGGAAGAGAAAUGGGCAAUCAAAUCUUGGACGACGAACCUGAUCACUUAUCCCACGUUCUCGGAAUGCUGUAGCCCAUGCAUUGAUGAAUGUGGAGAUUGUUGGUAUAUCAGCUAACCUGUGCGAAGUGAGCAAGCCGAUCGCUAAACCUCCACACUUAAACUUGUUGAUUUGGAUGGCUAAUAAACGACCAGUGUCUGAUGCAGUUACACAAGGAACAAAAUGAUCCAGCAGAUCAAGAUUGCUAUUGGGGUCUUGUUGGAUAAUUUGUGUGAGGUCUACCCCAUCUACUUUGGCUUCCAGGAACUCCACCCCUUCAUCAUUACAAUCAACUGAGAGAUUAUCUUCGAUGUAUCUUCCUGCUAGAGGGUAAAAGAGGGUUAAUAUUUCGGACAAAGAUUUCUCUAGAUCUUCGAUGUUAUUGACAUGGUGGUUGUUAGGAUAGUAGAAAAUAUUGGGUACAUUCAGUGAAGGAGCAAGCUGAUCGAGAAAUGAUAUGUUCAGAUUCUGAAGGUGAGGAGGAGUUUGAACCGAUGGUUUUAUUAGCUUUCUAGAUAUGAGCUGAACCUCCAUUGCCAGCUUGCUGUAUUUCGCCUCGAUCAUUGCCUUUCCCCCUUUUAAUAGCUACGUACUGAGAUGGUAGGUGGAAGUUGAGUAGGAACUUGAAAGUUUGAUGAAGUGAUCAACCUAAUCUCUUAGAUUAUUUGUUUAUUGUUUCCAUGUAUUUCCUUUGACUUAAUUUGGUAUAGAACUUAUGUAUGCUUGUGUAGGAAGAAAAUCUAACGGUUCAUAAAGGUAUAGAACUUGUGUAUGCUUGUGUAGGAAGAAAAUCUAACGGAUUCAUUUAUGAACCAGUGAAAUACAAUAUGUUAAGUCUAAGAUUUUGUGCUAACAGAUUCAUUUAUUUUCAGCUUUAUUGUUGUUUCAACACCACGAUAUCCUCAGAUUCAUUUAUUUUCAGCUUAAUUUUAGAUUUUAUUCCUAAUUCUUUUUCUUUUUUAUCUAGGAUUCUAAUUUUUCUACUUUGUAAAGUUCAGUUUUUUUCACCUAUUUAAGAAGUUAUAAAAUUUAUCAGAGAGGCAUAAUACAUGUCCGAGAUAAUUAUUCAGAAAUAAAAUACAAAUCCAUCUACCCCAUUUGAACUUCGCUUUUGCAAUUCCCAGUCAAUCAUAAAGAAAGUUCAAUGCGUCAAUUUUGAAAACCCAAAUUGGAAACGGAAACGAGAGAUGAAGACAAGUUCAACGCGUCAAUUUUGCAAGAACCCUGUUUCUGGUAUUUUCUUUAUUCUUCUGAACACAGCAAGAGUGACUGACUUUAUCCUGGAAGUGUAAUGAUGAUGUGGCGUCCUCUGGGGCGUGGUCUGGUGGUAAAAGACUUGAGAUCUACAUGGCAGGUCUCGAGUUCGAGUCAGAACAUAUAAUUCUUAUAAAAAUCUGGAACAGCUGAUGUUUUACUCACUCACCUAUACCACAAAGUAUGCUUUCCGAAAGAUGAGGUUUCUUCAAAUAAAAAAGUAAUAAUAAUGCGGCAUUUGCAGAAGGGUUUGGACACUGAUAUGGCUAUCUUUAUUUUCCUUGCAUGCCAACACAGUGUCUUCGUCUUCAUCUGUGGACACUUUAAUUGUUCUGUUCAUCAUAAAGGAAGAUGCUGGGAGGUUGGCUCCAGCCUCCACUUUUGACCUCUGUAUAUCAAACAAAUUAUAGGGGACAGUGACCGGAAAUGAGAGGGCCGAUAGGCCAUGGCAAAGAAUUGGCUACCUCCAUUCUCAAUUAUUGGCAAUACUUAAAUUAACAUUACUGUAACUUUGAUGUUAAUUGCUGCCCAGAGGCAAGCAUAUCUUUUGUUUCACCUCAGCAAGUUCUUUUUUUAGUUACAGUAAUGUUAAUUAAGUAUUGCCAAUAGAUAGGUAGGCUUGCGAUUCUCGAGUUUUUUUAGGGAUUAUUUCAACUUACAUCAUUGGAUGAUUUAAUACUCUUAUAAUGACACUAAAUUUUCCAUGUAAUUUUCAUAUUUCUUAUAAUCCUGUAUACAUAGAAAUGUGGUUUUUUUUUUUAAUUAAAAGCAAGUAAAUGUAUCUGAUAAAAAAUAUACAAAAUUGGAGAAUCAACAAGUUUAGGGUUAUUUUUUUUUAAUGUGGCUAGAGGUUGUUUUUUUUUUUUUCAUGUAAUUUUCACAUUUCUUUAUGUGAGUUGAUGUUAUUUCUUUUUAUUUUCUUUUCUUCUCCUUACUUUUCUCACUGUGGUGACUUUCCUCUCUCACUACAAAGAGAUUUUGGUUUUGGACUUGGAGAAUUUGGGUUCAAGAAGGGUUAAAGAAAACAAAUAGGCAUUACCUCUCCUUACUGUUUACAAUUAGAGAAUUGAAUGUGGAAGAGCCAAAGAAGAGUUGGGCUUUUAUUUUGAAUUUUUGUUUUCAUAAUUUAAGGGAUUCAAUCUAUGUAUUAGGAUGUUAGUUGGACUGAAACAAACUCGAUUAAUGUCUAAAUUAUAGGCUUGUAGAAGAACAGAAGGUUUAUUUUUUUAGGCUCUGUGAAUUGGAGACUAGCAGGUUAGGAUUUUGGGAAAUCCUAGCCAACCGAUCAAUCGGUUGGUCUAAACUAGCUGACUGAUUGGUUUGUGUAAUGGUCGACCGGCUAACCCUACAAUAGUAGUUAAUCGGUCUAUUAUGUUCGAAAUCAAUUAAGUGAAUCGGUUCAGCUUUAUUAUUAUGAUUUCGUUUCUAAGUUUAGGGCUUUCAUAUUUUAUAUUAUGUUACUUUGAGUCAUUUUUUAGUUUUUUUUUUAUAUUUGUUAUAGGUUUUAUUGACGUUCCUCCUACCAAGCCUUAGAAAUCUUCGAUUUUGCAUUCGUUUAUUUUUUUUAUUUUAUUUUUCGAGUGAGUGGGAUAAUUUCUAUUAUGUAUUAUACAUACAUAUAUAGGAGGCCAAUCCAUACACUACUGACACCCUACUCACGAACUAGAAAAUAAAUAUCAUGUACAUACAAGCUAAUAACUCUAUGUUAGCAUGAUUUACCUUUAAAUUUAAAAAAUAAAUUGAUGAAUUAACAUUAACUAAAAACAUUUUGUGAAAUAAUAUAUUUUUGGUUUGUCACAAUUAUAAUCAUGAUAUAUAUUAAAUAUCAUAUUUUUAAAUUGCAAUAAAUAAUUGAUAUUAUAAUUAAAAAGUAAAAUUUUAAUUAAUUUGAUGAUUUUCAACUACAACAUCAAUUAAUUGUUGUUUCAAUAUCAAUUUUCAUCUAUUUUAGUUGAAGUUUAUACUCAAAGAAAUUUAUCAAAGCUUGCUGUACAAGCUGUUUUAAUGCAGACACGACAUUCUAGAAAAUUUACAGUGGUUUCUUUAGACGCAAUUAAGGAAUCAGUUUGUCUGGGUAAUAUGAUAUUUACUAAAUAUUAUUUUAAAAAAAUACAAACAAUAUUAUUAUGUAAUUUUUUUUUUAUUAUUGUGCUAAUUAAAAAAAAUCGUAAAAAAAUAGUACAGUGAAAGCUACCGAACCUCGAACAAGGGAGCUUGAUCAUGGGAACCGUGAAUCCCAUACCCAACUGUUGUUUCCUGGUUUCUAUGCUCGAUCAUGUGUGUGUCUUUCCAUUUUGUUUAUUUUUCUUUUUCAAUUUUUUCUUUAUUUUUAAUUUAGCCCUUGAUUGUCAUAUUCAGUCAAUUUUGGAUUGAUUUUUCAAGACUUCUUUCAAGUAAGCCCUGGAUAACAUUCAUAAUCAUCCUUCAAUAUUGAGACCUUUUACACUUCAGCUCUUGGAUGUUUAUUUUGUACAAUUUUUUUCUUCAAUUAGGCUCCUAAUGGAAUUAAUAUGGUCGUCAUAUCCUAGCAUCUAUUUCAUUUUGAUCCUUGAUCUUUUGAUUAUUCUAAUUAUGAUCAAAUAUUUUGACUCUAAAUUUCAAUCUUCCUUUUCAAUUGAGCCCUUAAUCAAACCAUUUAAAUCCUCAAAUUUCAAUGGCCCUUCCAUUUUGUUCUUUGGUCCUUUAAUUUUGGUCAAAAGGACUCCAAAUUUUAAGUUUUUCUUCAAUUAAGCCCCUAAUUGAGUUAAUUGAAAUUCCAAACUUUUCCAUCUCUUUUAUUGUGGUCAUUGACUUGUAAAUUUAGCCAAUUUUUCCCUUAAUUCAAAAUCUUCUCCUCAAUUACGCUCUCAACUAAAAUAAUAUGACUUCAAAAUUUAAUUUGCCAUCCUUUUUAUUUUGGUUAUUGGUCUUUUAUUUCUUUUAGCUAUGAUCAAUUUAAACACUUUCUUCAAUUAAACCCCAAAUUACAUACCCACAUAACUUGUUGACCAACUACAAAAUAAAUUCUUGUCUAAUUACAGCCCGAAGUUAUAUUUUAUUUUUAAAAUUCCACAUCAUUGCACAACCUUUUUUUUUCUUUUCAAAAUUCUAUAUAUUUCGUUUGACAUUCUGUUGGUAUAUACCAACAGAAUAAUUCUAUCAGAAUAUAUCAACGGUUUUACCGAUUGAUUUACAUUCGUCAGUAAAUAUCACCAUAAACUAUCAACAUAAAAAUUUCAUCGAUAAUUCCAUUGAUUUUGGUCAAAUUUCUAAUAAUGUUUCAAGAUGUUUAAUAUUACUGAGAAGCAUAAUCAUACUGUAGAUUUAUUGGCUAAUUAAGCAAGCAUGGAGAAGAAUUGUUUUGUGCAAUUUGCUUCCUUGUCCACCAUAAGUUUAUUGAAAGUUUCUAAAUACUUAGAGUUUUUUUGUUUAGAUAAUCUCAUUGUUGAUAUUUUAAAUUGUUUGAUGUAUAUUUAUAGUCAGAUUUUAAUAAUAAAUAUUUUAAAAAUACAUUAAAAUAUUUUUUUUAACUUUUUUUUGUUUUUAACAUCACCAUAAUAAAAUCAUGGAAUAGCUUGUUUAGAAUCAAAUCAUUAGUGGAAUUUAAUUCAAUUUCAUACAUGAAUUGAAAUUAAAAAAUAAUAUAUUAUAAUUCUUAAAUCCCGUAAUUGAAUUUAAUUUAAACACAUAUGGGAUGAUGAAUUGAAUUGGCUAUUUUGCUUUUAAUUUAGAAAUAAAUUUGAUACAAAAUCAACAACAUAGAUAAAACGUGGAUAUGCAUAUCAUUGGAUUCACCGAAUCAAGUCAUUUUUUUUUUUAGUUUUUCCUGAAUUUGAAGUCCACUACGACUCUGAUAUUUUCAAGAACUGAAGACAUUAACGAGAAAUGAAGACAAGUUCAAUGCAUCAAUUUUGCAAGAACCCUACUUUGCAGUAUUUAUGAUAUUUUCAUUAUUAUUCUGAAGACAGCAAGAGUGACUGAUUUUGCCUGAUGGGAUCGUAACAUGGAAUGAGGGGACCAGUGGGCCAGAUAGGACAAAGAAUUGACUAAAAAAAGAUAAAAUACUUAAUUAACAUGACUGUAACUUUGAUGUUGAUGCCCAACCAAUCCUAAGGCAAGCAAUUUUGACUUAUUGAUAUAGAUAAAACAGCACGGGAAAAUCACAGUCACACACAAGAAAGAUAAAAUUAGUUGAAUUAUGCAUUUAUUAUUGAAUAUUUUUUUUAAUGUGAUUUACUUUUUAAAGGUUUGCAGCUGUUUAAAUAGAUAAAAAUUCAAUCUUUAUAAAUAACGAAAAUGAAAAUUUUAAGCCAAAUAAAAAAGUCAAUAUAUAAUUCAAAAUCAAGUUACCAAUAAAAAAUAAAAAGAAAUAUAAUAAAAUUGGUUAAAACAUCAUCUUUCAAACUUAAUUUAAGAGGCUUUGACGUGAACAAAAAUAACACAAGAAAUAGUUCAAGCACAAGCAACAUAAAAUUUCAUUGAAUAGAAUCACCAUCCAAAAACUCUAAUUUUUUUUACUAAAUAUUUAUUUUUACAUAAUUUAUUGAAAUACAAACUAAACAACUUAUUAGGGAAUACUAAUAUAUCACUGAAUUCUCAAUGAUAUUUAUUCUAAUAAAGAAGCUUGUUUACUCAUGUUUUUAAAAUGAAUUCUAAAAUUUAGUUAUGAAUUCAUGAUCAUUUUCUUUGCAAUUCUCUAGUCUUCUUCUUUUUAUUAAUAAAUAAUUGAAUAAGUCUUCACUUGUCUUUGUAAUUUUUUUUUAUUAACGUGGAUGUUCGGACUAGCUUGCACGUACCUCGACUAAUCUCACGGGUCUUAAAAUUAACUAUCAUAUAAAUAAUCACAGAGCUCAAAUCUAAAACCAAAAAAAAAAAAAGAAAGAGAGAGAUGACUAUCUCCUUUUCUCACCAUGGUCCAUCAAUGACUUUAGAAUACAUUAAAGUCUUUGGGAUACAACCUAUUUCCUUCAUUCUUUGUUUUCAGUGUUAUCCAAUGAAUUGGUCGCUAGUAUUAAAUGUCCGGCUUGUUUAUUUUUUUUGUUUUAAAUUUUUUUAAAAAAAUAUUUAAAUUUUUUAUUUAUUUAUUUCAAAUUAAUAUAUUUUUAGUAUUUUAAAAUUAUUUUGAUAUACUAAUGGAGCAUCCUCGGGGCCCCUACUCUGUUCGUUCAUGGACAGGCAGCAAGCAAGUUCGUCUUCAGUGGCGACAGCAACACUCUGGGCAGUCAGCAGCCAUCGUCGAUAAGUAGGGUUUGCGGUUGGGAGGAAUAUCCUGGAACUAAGUGGCCAUGACCAUAAACGCGUAAGGGGCGCUCUCUUGUCUUUCUUAAAGCCUGAAGUUCUGAAGCAAUAUGUUAGUAAGAUGGAUGAAGAGAUUAGAAAGCAUUUCGAGAUGCAUUGGCGCGGCAAGAAAAAAUGUUUUGGUCAGUGAAUUUUAUCUAAAAAAAGCUAACCUCCACUGAUUAUAUAUAUCACAAGUAAUAUUUUGUGUUUUUGCAGCUUUGAUGCCUUUUAUAUCUGAUUUAUCUCUUGACAACAUAGGCAAUGCCAUCGAUUAAGACCCUCACCUUCAAUAUUAUGAGCUCGCUGAUUAUUGGGAUAGAGGAAAGUGCAAAAAGAGACAUACUCCUACAGCUCUUCGAACAACUAAUGGAGGGUGUUCUAUCAGUACCAUUCAAUUUUCCCUUCACACGAUUCAAUCGAAGCCUCCAAGCAAGUGGGAAAAUCAGACCGAUUUUAGAGGAUCUUAUCCGAGAAAAAAGAGCUGCAUUGGAGCAUGGAACUGCCUUUCCUCAACAAGAUCUUAUCACGACCUUGCUUAGUCUCCGAAACGAGGAGAAUUCAGCAGUAUUAACUGAUGAGGAAAUUAUAGAUAAUGCAAUCGUGAUAAUGAUAGCAGGCUAUGACACCUCCUCCGUCCUCCUCAGUUUGUUGAUCAGGCUUUUAGCCGAUGAUCCAUCU